ACGAACGCUGGCGGCAUGCCUAACCCAUGCAAGUCGCACGAGACCUUCGGGUCUAGUGGCGCACGGGUGCGUAACGCGUGGGAACCUGCCCUUAGGUUCGGAAUAACUCCCCGAAAGGGGUGCUAAUACCGGAUAAUGUCUUCGGACCAAAGAUUUAUCGCCUUUGGAUGGGCCCGCGUUGGAUUAGCUAGUUGGUAGGGUAAAAGCCUACCAAGGCGACGAUCCAUAGCUGGUCUGAGAGGAUGAUCAGCCACACUGGGACUCAGACACGGCCCAGACUCCUACGGGAGGCAGCAGUGGGGAAUAUUGGACAAUGGGCGAAAGCCUGAUCCAGCAAUGCCGCGUGAGUGAUGAAGGCCUUAGGGUUGUAAAGCUCUUUUACCCGGGAUGAUAAUGACAGUACCGGGAGAAUAAGCUCCGGCUAACUCCGUG
rnacentral:rRNA from 1 species